CUGCAACCAGUUAAACUAAUCAGGUUCNUUUUCUCAGGAGGACCCGGUGUGCAAUGGCUGCCAGCAGCAGGCCCCUUGGGAAUGCACGCAGCCUGCUGCUUGCAUGGGUUCCCUAAGGCACCCUGAAGACCAUU
rnacentral:snoRNA from 1 species